GGGCCCGUAGCUCAGCAUGGAUAGAGCGGCGGCCUCCUAAGCGGAAGCGGAGCGAGCCGUAGGUCGUGGGUUCGAAUCCCACCGGGCCCGCCA
rnacentral:tRNA from 1 species